GGAUAUAGCUCAGUAGUCGAGCACCUGCCUGACAAGCAUGAGGUCCUAAGUUCAAUUCCCAGUACCA
rnacentral:tRNA from 1 species